UGGGAAUUUUGGACAAUGGGCGCAAGCCUGAUCCAGCAAUGCCGCGUGCAGGAUGAAGGCCUUCGGGUUGUAAACUGCUUUUGUACGGAGCGAAAAGGUCUGCCCUAAUACGGUGGGCUCAUGACGGUACCGUAAGAAUAAGCACCGGCUAACUACGUGCCAGCAGCCGCGGUAAUACGCAGGGUGCGAGCGUUAAUCGGAAUUACUGGGCGUAAAGCGUGCGCAGGCGGUUAUGCAAGACAGAGGUGAAAUCCCCGGGCUCACCCUGGGAACUGCCUUUGUGACUGAAUAGCUAGAGUACGGUAGAUGGGGAUGGAAUUCCGCGUGUAGCAGUGAAAUGCGUAGAUAUGCGGAGGAACACCGAUGGCGAAGGCAAUCCCCUGGACCUGUACUGACGCUCAUGCACGAAAGCGUGGGGAGCAAACA
rnacentral:rRNA from 1 species